UACGUAGGGGGCAAGCGUUGUCCGGAUUUAUUGGGCGUAAAGAGCGUGUAGGCGGCCAGGUAGGUCUGCUGUGAAAACUCGAGGCUCAACCUCGAGACGUCGGUUGAAACCGCUUGGCUAGAGUCCGGAAGAGGAGAGUGGAAUUCCCGGUGUAGCGGUGAAAUGCGCAGAUAUCGGGAAGAACACCCGUGGCGAAGGCGGCUCUCUGGGACGGUACUGACGCUGAGACGCGAAAGCGUGGGGAGCGAACAGG
rnacentral:rRNA from 1 species